GAUGAACGCUGGCGGCGUGCCUAAUACAUGCAAGUCGAGCGAAGCGAGGACGGGGGAGUAACACGUGGAUAAACUCAUCUAAGAACGGGAUAACUUCGGGCAAACAGAGCUAAAAAGGAGACUUAUAGAUGGAGCCGCGCUGACUUAGCUAGUUGGAAAGGAAACGGCUUACAAAGGCAACGAUGCAUAGCCGACCGGCGAGUGGGAUCGUCCACACUGGAACUGUGACACGGUCCAGACUCCUACGGGAGGCAGCAGUAGGGAAUCAUCCGCAAUGGGCGAAAUCCUGACGGAGCAACGCCGCGUUAGUGAUGAAGGUCUUCGGAUCGUAAAACGCUGUUAUUAGGGAAGCGUUACCUAAUCAGAAAGCCACGGCUAACUCCGUGCCAGCAGCCGCGGUAAUAC
rnacentral:rRNA from 1 species